rnacentral:lncRNA from 1 species
CACAGUUUAAAAAAAAUGCAGUUUUAAAUUAGUAUUUAAUUUUGGAGUCUUUAGAACUCCAGAGUUUCAUCUGUGUUUUGUUUUGCUUUUUACUUCCAGCUGUUGCAUGUGAUCUGGAGUUCUCCUCCUCCUCUGCCUCCCUGCUGGCUCUGAAUGAUUUGUGACUGCAUUCCACAAAGACCCAGUGUGACAAGAGCAGAAGAAUACAUUAAAAGACUGUUUCAGAGCAUGCAUUGCUCUGCAUUUUAGCAAACACCAUCUGGAAUCCCAUUGGCAGAUGCUUCUACAGCCGCAUAAGAAAGAAAAUUCAUACAGUACACUUCAGUGUCUCCAAAGAAUUUUACAACUUUCAGGUCACAGUCACAGGGUAACUGUAAGAUAACAUAAUUUUAUUCACUACGGAAACAGAUGACAAAACAAGAUGUACUAAGAAACCAACUAGAAGAUGGCUUUUUAAGUGCUGACUCGAAGUGAGUUUGGAAACAUCCCCAGUGAAAAAAUUAUGGCCAGAGGCCAGAAGCACAGCUCAUCAAGAGAGGUGGGAAUCAGACUGUAGAAUGAAACAAGAUAAAACACAUUAAAUUUCUUGUGGAAUGAAGUCAUAAACCCCAGAGGAUUACUUCUAUCACUGAGUUAAUUUCAAUGUUGUCACAAUGCUUUAUUAUAAUUUGGAUUUUUUUUCAUAAA